rnacentral:lncRNA from 1 species
GACAAAUCUAUUUCAGGGCACUAGAUUAGUGGUAGGCCAAUUUCACCUCUCUCCCGUAACCCUUUAUAUAUCUCCUCCUUUCCUUUAUUUUUUUUCCCCCUUUCUCCUUAAGUCUUUUUUUUCAAAGCUUCUAUUGGUGGUUGAUUUGAUCGGUCCAAAACAGACCGAUAAUGGAUCUAUCUUAAGGCUAGCCAAGUGCCUCUUUCCUCUUCUUUCUCUCCUUUCCAUUUCUUUAUUUCCCUCUUUAUCAUUUUUGUUUUUUCCCACUUUUUUGAUUCUUUUCUUCUUCCUUGCUUUCCCUAUCUAGCAAUUUAUUGGCUAAUCGGCUAGACACGAUCAUACAGAGUUAAUCAUCUGAAAAAUAAAUUCAAUUAUUUUGAUUGAACUUAUGUGUCACCCCGUGAUACUCAAUGAGAAAAGGGCGGUUGCUUUCCUUGAUGCCUUUCAAAGUUGUUUUUCUUUGGUAUAAAGGUCAAAAAAAUUUUCAAACAAAAAAUUAAUAAUAAUAUUUUAUUAUAAUUAAUUAAAUUUUAAUUUUUUUUAAUUUCAAAUCAAGUAAACUCUUAAAUAUUUAUUAUCCUCCAAUUGUACUUUUAUAUGUAUAUAUAUUUCAUUCAAUUAAACUUUUCAUUGGAUGAAAACAAUUAAUUAGUUUUUUAAUAAGAAUUCAAUUAAUGAAAAUAAAGGUUU